CCUACGGGUGGCAGCAGUCGAGGAUCAUUCACAAUGGGGGAAACCCUGAUGGUGCGACGCCGCGUGGGGGAAUGACUGUCUUCGGAUUUUAAACCCCUGUCAUGUGGGAGCAAAUUAUAAAGAUACUACCACAAGAGGAAGAGGCUGCUAACGCUGUGCCAGCAGCCGCGGUACUACAGAGGUCUCAAGCGUUGUUCGGAAUCACUGGUAGUAAAGCGUGCGUAGGCUGUUUCGUAAGUCGUGUGUGAAAGGCGCGGGCUCAACCCGCGGACGGCACAUGAUACUGCGAGACUAGAGUAAUGGAGGGGGAACCGGAAUUCUCGGUGUAGCAGUGAAAUGCGUAGAUAGCGAGAGGAACACUCGUGGCGAAGGCGGGUUCCUGGACAUUAACUGACGCUGAGGCACGAAGGCCAGGGGAGCGAAAGGGAUUAGAUACCCCAGUAGUC
rnacentral:rRNA from 1 species